GUCUUUUCUUCAGCACAUAUACUAAACUUGGAAUGAUACAGAGAAGAUUAGCAUGGCCCCCGUGCCCAAAACAUCUUUUGAAAAAUGAUUUUU
ensembl:snRNA U6 U6 spliceosomal RNA